UUCUGAACACGAACCUAUAGUCUCGCAUCUUCCUCCAGGCUGGUUCACCUCCGCGCGGCCCACUUCACGACUGGCGGCGAGAGAGAGAGGAAGAGGUGGCGGAGUGCUGUGGCGUGGCGCAGAGGGAGACGCUGAAGGAGCAAGUGGAGGCAGUUCUGAGAUGUCCCCACCACAGCUUCCCUGAAUAGCCCCACCAGACUACAAGAAUCUCUACAUUGGUUUUCAGUCUGGUACUACCUUAGGCACGACAAGAGUUCUCUUUCAUACUAAGGUAGUAAAGCUACUGUGGGAGUGAAGGAGUUGUGGCAGAAAGGAGAGAUUGACUGAUGAGCGAGCCACUUCCAAGACUUACGACAGCAAAAAGUUUUCUCUCCUUUGGCUUGAGAGAAAGGUUCCCUCCUUGCUAAGUCACCAUGAAGAUUGGCAGGCAUCACUCAUAACCUUUCAAGUGUGGUGCUGAGUGAUCAGGAGUAUGCAAGGAGUUCCCUCACUCACCUUUCUUGUCAAGGAUCACCACAAGCCCACACCCUACCAUCAGGCCAGCCUCAAGAAAAGUGUAUGUCUCCUACUGCUGCAUCUUCCGAGGCCCCUCCAGCAGUGGGUGUGUGGAGAGGCAAGUGGAGGAUUUGUGCAGCUAGCAGAGUGGUGUAAGCCUUCAUGUGGAGUGCUGCGGCAACAAAACAAGCAGGACCUGGAGUGCUGCAGCAAGAAAACAAGCAGGUCCUGCAAGCCUGGUGCCACACAGUAGUACAUCAGCUGUCUGGACUCUGGUGUAAUCGGUGAAAGUGUCAACAGAUACAAUGGGAAAACCUGUCAGAUACAUUGCUCUGUAAUCUUUGCAUUGAAAUAUGCUGAUAGAAUGGAAUGAAUGAAUAUACCAGAAGGAACUGUUACCACCAAUAUACUCCAAAGUCUUGUAUAUAAAACAGUUCAGCUUGUACUACAAUUUCUACAUACUGGCAGUUCUGAGAUGUCAACACAGCUUCCCUGAAUAGCCCCACCAGACUACAAGAGCUUCCCUGAAUAGCCCCACCAGACUACAAGAAUCUCUACAUUGGUUUUCAGUCUGGUACUACCUUAGGCACAACAAGAGUUCUCUUUCAUACUAAGGUAGUAAAGCUACUGUGGGAGUGAAGGAGUUGUGGCAGAAAGGAGAGAUUGACUGAUGAGCGAGCCACUUCCAAGACUUACGACAGCAAAAAGUUUUCUCUCCUUUGGCUUGAGAGAAAGGUUCCCUCCUUGCUAAGUCACCAUGAAGAUUGGCAGGCAUCACUCAUAACCUUUCAAGUGUGGUGCUGAGUGAUCAGGAGUAUGCAAGGAGUUCCCCUCACUCACCUUUCUUGUCAAGGAUCACAGCAAGCCCACACCCUACCAUCAGGCCAGCCUCAAGAAAAGUGUAUGUCUCCUACUGCUGCAUCUUCCGAGGCCCCUCCAGCCGUGGGUAUGUGGAGAGGCAAGUGGAGGAUUUGUGCAGCUAGCAGAGUGGUGUAAGCCUUCACGUGGAGUGCUGCGGCAAGAAAACAAGCAGGUCCUGCAAGCCUGGUGCCACCACAGUACAUCAGCUGUCUGUUUGCUGUGUGCCUGCAAGCCUGGUGCCACCACAGUACAUCAGCUGUCUGUUUGCUGUGUGGACUCUGGUGUAAUUGGUGAAGUGUCAACAGAUACAAUGGGAAAACCUGUCAGAUAUAUUGCUCGGUGUUUAUCUCCUGCUGCUGGUGCAUCCAUCUUCUAAGGCCCCUCCUGCUGUGUGUUACUUAUGCAGUCAGUAGAGCAGUGUUUUAGCAUGGUGUGGAGUGCUGCAGCAACAUAACAGUGAAGUCAUGCAAGGCUGAUACCACCACAGCACAUCAUCUGUCUGUCGGCUCUUGUGUAAUCCGUAGAAAAAUAACAUCAGUUAUGACAAGCAAGUCAAGAUAUAAUGUGAAAACCAAUGAAAGAUGCAUUGCUCCAUUAUUUUUGCAGUAAAAUUUGAUGGUGAAAGAUUGAAUGAAUAUAGCCGUCUGCCUGUUUGUAUAGUUUAGACAAAAUUUGCAAACAUAACUAACAUGUAAGUUAAGUAAAAAUAUCUGUUGGUACAGAAAGUUUGUUGCCCUGAGAAAAAAAAUGCAUUGAUCCGUAAAUAUGACCAGAUCACCUUGCAUGUGCACCUUGCCACACAAACAACUUCUUAGGACUCUGCAUACGCAGAGUGAACCUAUGUGCAGGUUCCACCUAAAAUUAGUCAUGUAUUUGGGUCAAUACUGGCCUUUUUCCCUCAGAUUUUUCUACAUAAAUGUUUUUACAUGUUUCUUGUACUACUGUAGAAAUAAAACUAUAUAACCCCAUUAAAAACAACAGACAGCUUAUACAAAUUUCUACGUACUGGUUGGUAGAUUCCUUCACUCUGUGGUUAUCACCAAAUUUUAGUGUAAAGAUUACAGAGCAAAGUAUGUAUCUGGUUUUCACAUUGUAUUUUGACACUUCCCUGACACUUUCACUGAUUACACCAGAGUCUACAGAGAGGCAGCUGACUUGCAGGACUUGUGUUUUGUUGCCGCAGCACUCCAUGCGAAGGCUUACACCGCUCCUCUGGCUGCACAAAUCCUCCAUUUGCCUCUCUACAUACCCACCACAAGACUUCAAACACAGCAGGAGGGGCCUCAGAAGAUGCAGUAGCAGGUAGGAAGUAAUUGGUAAAAGGAGACAAACACCCACAAUGGAAUUAUGCAACUUAAAAGGGAAAAUAGGUAUUAAUACGAUAAUUCAAAAAUUACAUGCACACAAAUGAAAUAGAAUGAUACAAAAUUUUGGAAAAUAGAGGUACAUCAAAACUCAAAACUAUAUAAUGUAUUUGAGGAGAUAUAAGGCAUUCAUUUUUUGCAUACAUAUAACAAAAAAUAGUUGAAUUGAUUCAAUUGAAAUAAUUUUUGGCACAACUUGGAUGGUGUCCAACAAGGGAAGCAUGACAAUCGAGCUGUGACGUCCACUAAUCCACUGCCUCCACACUCCUGUCUGUCCCUACCCUCCUCCACAUCUUCCUCUCCCUCUCUGGAAAAUACUGGCACUGCUAAGUUUUAUAUAUGUAGAAUUGAGGCACUCUAUGUGGCAGUGUUUUGUGUAAUUCAUGUAUGAUAGUUGAAGUGAGAAGAGUAGAAGCAAGUGGCUAAUGAGAACCAGUGUGAUUAAUAGUUGACUAUGGAUGCCAUCAUCAUUAAUCCUUGAAGAUGAUAGUGAUGAAGACGACCUAUUCUUGGAUAAUGAUGAAAUAAAAAAUGGAGCCGAGUUGUUUGUAUACAUCCUUAAUUUGUUGAGAGGGAGGGAGAGGAGAGGAGAGCGUGGAGGUAGUGAUUGAGUGGACGCCACCACUCCAUCAUGGUUCCCUUGUUUGAUUCGCUGUUGUCAUGGUUCCCUUGUUUGAUUCGCUGCUCAGCUGAGUUAGCUAAUGAGGGCUUAAUUAAACCUUAAUUGGUAGAGUAAACACUUUAAGGAACCACAUUUGGCAAUGUACGAUGGUGUGAAAAAUUAAUAUUUAUUUGGAAGACAAAUGUGAAAAACAAUGCCUCACUACCUCUGAAAUGCAUAGUAGAUAAUUUACUUAGAAACCAGAGGUUAUGUGCCUUCUGCUAAGCAAAAGUUGACAUGUUAGCAUAGAACUGAAGUCAAUGAGGAUGGAUAUAGAGGGGGACUGAAUACAGAAAAUAGAAAUGAUGAAUAAGAGUUUCAAGAAAAUCUUUAUAAGGGAACAGGGAUUUCUCAGACCACCAACAUAAUAAAAAACAGAACACUGAUGGACACUCAGUGAACAAAACAGGAAGCUGGAGAGAUCACCAAGAAUCUGGAUGUGGAGGAAAGCAACAAGACAGGCUAGUGUCUAGAUUGAUACAGAGUGCAGCAACCAGCUUACAAAUACGUCACACAACAUCACACUUGCCUCCAUCACUAAGAACAGCUGUCCAGGACUGGAGGAGGGGAAACAAGGUGCCCAUACUUAAGGAGUGGACAAUCAAGACUCACGACAUUUACAGACCAGUUUGGCUGAUAAGUAUAAUAAAACUAUCAAAGAUCAUAAAAACAAAUUAACCAAAUAUUUUAAAGAUAAUUAAAUUGUUGCAAAAUGGCAAUAUAGAUUCAGAAAAGGAAGGUUUUGUUUAAUAAAUAUGUUGUGUUGUGUUACUCAAAAGUGAUUAAGCACACAAGGAGGCAUGCAGAAUACUGAGACCAACAACCAUGACGACACGAGUUGAGAGACAUUCCCCAUGAAAAAGCAGGAUUGGAAACACUGGAUAGGGAAGAUUUGUGUGUGUGUGUGGAAUGAAACAGAAGCAAGAGGUCAUGGGAAGGAACUUAAACCAAUCACCUGCAGAAGAAUGUCCACAUUGAAGUCAAGCUGCUCCUAUAGUACCAAGUAGUGGACUGGUGGGUGAAGUGGUCUGCAAAAGGAGUAUUCAUUAAUAGUAGUUAUAGACUCUGGAGAGUAUGAGUUUAACUUACCCCACCCAACACACACACACACACACACUAAUUGGUCACUCAAACAGGCAUUUUUUUUUUCAUUUCACAAACAUUUAACUCCCUUUAGCAGUGCGUCAACAUUGUUCCUACAUCCUGAAACACUCCACAGCCCUUCUCUAUCAACUUUCUCUUUUCUAAAUCCCAGAAACCUCAUAACUCGCCCUCAUCCUUCACCAAACACUUGCCCUCACACACAUCUGUCAAACACCCAUGCCAUGCAUCCUUCCUUCACAAGUCCCUCUGUCCAACACUCUUCUGGACAGUUCUAUUGUUUCUGUGGUAAAUAGUCACUGUUCAUCCAAGUCUAUUAACAAUGUUCCUCAGAGUUCUGUCAUGUCACCCACUCUCUUCCUAUUAUUCAUCAAUUAUUUUAAACCAAACUACUCCAACCCACUCCUACACUUAUCAUAUCACCCUACACUUCUCCUCCAUGUCUUAUCAUAGACGACCAACCCUUCAGGAAGUAAGCAGAUCAUGAAGGGACGCCACAGAAAGUGAGACUUCUGAUCUCUAAAACACAAUUCCUCCAUCAAUCAACUCAACACAACCUUCCAAACAACUAACCUCUCUUCUUCAGACACUCAACUGUCUCCAUCUACACUGAGUAUCCUCAAACUGUCCUUUUACUUUAAUUUAAACAGGAAACUUCACAUCUCAUCUCUCGGAAAAACAACCUUUAUAAAAUUAGGUGUUCUGCAUUGUCUGUAUCAAGUUUCUAUCAUCCCCUUCAGCAGCUAACUCUGUACAGUCCAUGGUUCUCUAUUUUUUCAAAUCAUUAUUAAUAUUGUUCUUUGCUAGUUCCCCUCCUAUAUAAAAAUAAGACUGGUAAAUUUGGCUUCAAUUUAGACCUAUCAAUUACUAUGUAAUCAUUGUGCUACAUAUCAUGAAGGAAAAUUUUUUUUUCCCUUACUUUGCUUGGUGUGUGUUGGCACACUUAGUGGAGCUCACCAGCAAGAACAGUCUUGGAUCCUUUUCCCUUUAGUCUCUUGGACAGUAUUUCUGCAUUGUACAGAUCUGAAACAAAACAAUGCAUUGUUACACACAGCUUUAAUAUGUAUCUGCAUUAAAACUGUAAACACAUGAACUAAACUUGUAUGAACAAAUAAAAAAACCCUGAUGGUACAGGUUAAGCCCA